GUAGAGGCAUUAUCAUUUUGAAAAGAGCCUGUCAGACCGGGAUCACUUGGGACUUGUGCUGUGGAGUGUUCUGGCCUCCAGCCCUGCAGCCAUCUGGUGACCCCAUCGCUGCCUCCUGGGCCCCCAGUGCUCACUCCUCAGCCCUGUGCCAGUUCCUUCUCUCAGCCUCCUGCCACUUGGCCUCAGCUCCUUGCCCUGGACCCUGGAGAAGUGGUUGCCAUGAUUCUUGGAGUGUACAUCAACUGGGCACUUAACGAGUCUACUCUGUUCAUCACCAGGAAAGCUUGCUGUCCUUUGGAAGAUCAAAGAAACAGAACAAGAAGGAUGAACUGAUACAUCCCAGGAAUCUGUGGGACACCUGCCUUUCCUGGGAGUCUUGCAUCAGAAUGCAUUUGCCAAGUGCCACAUCUCAUCUUACAAGCUCUUCCUGUGAACAGACUGGCCCUCUCUCCAUCUAGGGUUGGUGUUCUCUCC
rnacentral:lncRNA from 1 species